AACGCACAUUGCGCCCAUUAGUAUUCUAUUGGGCAUGCCUGUUCGAGCGUCAUUUCAACCCUUAAGCUCAGCUUAGUGUUGGGAAUCUACUGUGAGCGGUGCUACCCUGUAGCUACCCUGUAGUUCCUCAAAUCGAACGGCGGAGUUAUAGUUACCUCUGAGCGCAGUAAUUUUUAUCACGCUUAGGAAGUGCUAUAGUUCUUGCCGCUAAACCCCCAAUUUUUAAUGGUUGACCUCGGAUCAGGUAGGAAUACCCGCUGAACUUAA
rnacentral:misc_RNA from 1 species